UUUCAUUCUUUUGCAUGUGUCUUUCCAAAUUUUCCAACACUAUUGACAAGGCUUUCCUUUCUCCAUUGCAUGUGUUUUGCUUCUUUGCCUAAAAUUAGUUGCCCAUAUACAUGAGGGUUUACUUUUGCUCUCUCAGUUCUGUUCCAUUGGUCUGUGUGUCUAUUUUUCUGCUAAUACCAUACUGUUCUGAUUAUUGUAGCAGCUCUUUCUUUAAAACUCUUUUUGUGCUUUUGUUAAUAACUCCCUGAUUCUUCUUGUGCUUUUCUGGCCUAUCCAGCCUCUCUGUGUCUUUCCCUGGGUCUUUAGAAAUGUGCCAGAAAAAGACAAGGAAAUGCCAUUCUCCCUUAUGUACUAGCAUUCCUAGGGGUCCCCUCCUCUCCCUGGCAAGCCUCCCCAACACCUGACUUCAGCUACAUCCAUUGGCUGAUGAAUCCCACAAUGACAUUGGUGCCUAGACCAGAACCUUCCACGGAACCCCAACCUUACCACAUCAAAAACGAAAUUCAGUUUCUCUUCCAAAUUCACUGCCUUCUGUUUCCCCAAUCUUGCUUGUCAGCCAUUCGCCCGAUGGUCCAAGUCAGUAACCUGAAAGUUAUGCUGGAUUUCUCCUUCCUACCUACAAUCCCCUGGGCCUGUCCUGCAUUGUUCUCAAGCAGCUCUUCCUUCUGUGCCUCCAGUUUAUCACGUGGUGUCUUUCAUUGGAAAUGUUGCAGCACUGGUACUUCUGUCCUGUCCUGUUUGUCUACAUUGCUGCAGAGCAAUCUUUCCAGUACAUGAUUCUGUUUAUGUGAUCACACAGCUCAGAAUUUUUCAGAAGCUCUCCGUAGCCUGUGAGAUAAAGUAGAAAUGUAUUGGCAUCGCAUAUUGGGCUCCUCAUAGAUAUCCAGUUGUUGAUACACACAGACCCAGUGAAGAAUCCAGGACUGAAAAUCUAGCUCUGUAAGCAGAGGGCAGGGAAAGAUAGACGGAAGAGGCUAGCCACUCCAGUCCGGUAAUUUAUAUAGUUUAUUAAUGGACACAGCUCAUUAAAUACAUCUUAGGUGGCUUCAAUUCAGAAUGGAUUCCACACAGCUUGGCAGGAGCAAAGAAUCAUAUAGGAUAAAGGGGGGAUAGUCAUGGGUCCUAGCAUGUGAAAGCUACCAGGUAUGGGAAAUCACAUGCUGGACCAGGUCAGGACAAAGGCCUGUCCCAGGAACCAGCAUGCAGCAGGGGAGGGGUGCUAGUUUAUGUCAGAACCGUCAUUGAUUACAGUAACCGUUCAGGCCCUGGUCCAGUUUGCCUGCGGGUCUGACAGCAGCCAUGCCCUGGAACAGUCUCUCCACAUCGGCCUAAACUGCCUCGGGUUGAGUGAUAUCGUGAUAGUGUGAAUGUUUCCUACAUCGACAUUUACUUGACAUAGUUGGCAGGAUUCCAGAAAGCUCACCCAGGAACACUUGUGCUAGGAUGCAGCAAGGGACCCAUUGAGCCCCGCCAGCUUCCCACAGGCUGCAUCAGCUGCCUUGAACCCUGCCACACUCCUCCCUGAAGAGGAGGCAGAGGCCCCUUUGCAUCACUGCGAGGAGACACUGACUACCCUCACUUCCCUCCACGAGGACCUUGUGGACCAGCCCUUGCAGAAUCUGGAUGAGACCCUCUACACGGACGGGAGCAGCUUCAUAGAGGAAGGUACCCGGUAUGCGGGGGCGGCAGUAGUAACGUGAGGAGGAGCCAGGGGAGAUCUGCAAUCUGCCAGGAUUAGAAAGAAGCCCUGGUGAGUGCCCCGGCACUGGCCCUGCCAGACCUACCCAGGGAAUGCAGGGGUAUAUCUCCUCACACUGCCCUUACAGGAGGACACAGGAGCCACCUUAAGGAAGUCUCCUGACCUCAGGAGGAAAGGAAAAAAGCUCCUGAGAUACUUAACCACCUAGCAGCCAUAUAGGGGCCAAGAAAGUGGUUAAAAGACCAGUAGGGCCCCUAGAAGUUCUCGUAGCCCUGCAGCCAGAGGAGCAGAGGCUAGCUGAGAAACUAGGGGCCCGGGAAGGCGAGGCUGGAUGGCUAAUUCUGCCAGACGGGAGGCCUAUAGUGCCCGAAGCCCUGGGGCGGACCAUCGCUUCCCAGACCCACCAGAGCACCCACCUGGGGGGAACGAUCAGAACUACUGGGAAGAGAAUUUUACAUCCCAGGACUCCAGAAAAUAUCUCAAGAGUUGGCUAGAAGGUGCCAAGUGUGUGCCCGGGUGAACCAAGGGCCCCUGUUGUGGCUGCGCCGGGGCAGCAAUUCCGAGGUCAGAACCCUGGAGAACACUGGGAAGUGGACUUCACUGAGAUACCAGGAGGACAAGGAGGAUAUAAAUACUUGCUGGUUUUCAUUGAUACCUUCUCUGGCUGGCCUGAGGCAUACCCAACCAAGGCAGAAACAGCACAGGUAGUAGUUAGGAAACUCCUCACUGAAAUUGCCCCCCGGUUUAGCCUAUCACUAUACAUGGGGUCCGUCAAUGGCCCAGCGUUCAUCGCUAAAGUUACACAAUCCAUAGUUAAGGCACUGAGGGUUACUUGGAAAUUGCAUUGUGUUUAUAGACCACAGAGUUCUAGACAGGUAGAGAGGAUGAAUCGGACCUCAAAGGAAACAUUAACUAAGUUAAAAUUAGAGACUGGCGGAAACUGGGUAAGUCUCCUUCCUUUUGCUUUCCUCAGAGCUAGGUGCACCCCAUACAUCCAAGGGCUAACUCCUUUUGAGAUAAUGUUUGGGCGACCGCCACCAUUGGUGCCCAGGUUGGGGGAGGAGGAGGUUGCCCGUCUCUCUACCCAUAAUUUGCUUAAGUCUUUGCAGGCACUCCAGCAAGCUGCCACAACAGCCCAAAGGAUUGUGAAAGAGGCUCACCUAGAGACUGAACAGCAGAAGGAGCCCAGGGGACAUCAGUUUUAUCCGGGAUAUCUCGUCUGGGUCAAGCACCACCAGCCCGGAGGGCUCGAGCCACGCUGGGACGGUCCAUAUACUGUAGUCCUCAGCACCCCCUCAGCAGUCAAGGUAGCCAGCAAGAGACAUUGGAUCCAUCGCACCCAAGUGAAGACAGCCGACAGCGGUGACAGCCCCCGGAAGUGGAAAGUAAAACCAACCCAGGACCCACUGAAGGCAAAGCUGGUACCUGCACACCUAGUACUCCCAGCUAGUAGAUACUAACAACGAAUCCAGGGUCUGAAUUCGUCCUUAAAGACAAGUAGGGAGUGUUACAGUUAAGCCCCCCUUGUACUGGGGAAAUGGAACCAACUGUGGUCGAGGGUAGUCUAGGGUACAGGGCAAGUUUAUAUUAGUAGCUGGAGCAACAGGGCAAAGUUGAUUAAUAAUACCUUGGUAACAGGGCAGUGUUGAUUAAUGUAGCCCUGGUAACUUUGUGUCUGUAUCCCAGGUAACUUUGUGUGUGUUUAGCCAACCGUUUUGUAGUUUCUGUGUAUAAAAGGCUGGCCUAGAACCAGGUUCAACGCUGUCGUAGGAGAAAACGCCUACGGAAGUCACUGGCCAGUUUUCAAUAAAUCCUCGCUUGCUGUUUAAGACCUAAUUGGAGUUGGUGGUCUUAUUCUUGCAAAUGUUGGUCCAUAA